GAUGAACGCUGGCGGCGUGCUUAACACAUGCAAGUCGAACGGAAAGGCCCAAGCUUGCUUGGGUACUCGAGUGGCGAACGGGUGAGUAACACGUGGGUGAUCUGCCCUGCACUUCGGGAUAAGCCUGGGAAACUGGGUCUAAUACCGGAUAGGACCACAUUUUGGAUGGUGUGGUGGAAAGUUUUUCGGUGUGGGAUGAGCUCGCGGCCUAUCAGCUUGUUGGUGGGGUAAUGGCCUACCAAGGCGUCGACGGGUAGCCGGCCUGAGAGGGUGUACGGCCACAUUGGGACUGAGAUACGGCCCAGACUCCUACGGGAGGCAGCAGGGGGGAAUAUUGCACAAGGGGCGCAAGCCUGAUGCAGCGACGCCGCGGGGGGGAUGACGGCCUUCGGGUUGGAAACUCCUUUCGCUAGGGACGAAGCGUUAUGUGACGGUACCUGGAGAAGAAGCACCGGCUAACUACGUG
rnacentral:rRNA from 1 species